rnacentral:rRNA from 1 species
GAGUUUGAUCCUGGCUCAGGACGAACGCUGGCGGCGUGCUUAACACAUGCAAGUCGAACGGAAAGGCCCCGCUCGCGGGGUACUCGAGUGGCGAACGGGUGAGUAACACGUGGGUGAUCUGCCCUGCACUUCGGGAUAAGCCUGGGAAACUGGGUCUAAUACCGGAUAUGACCUCCCUUUAGUGUGGGGGGUGGAAAGAUUUAUCGGUGCAGGAUGAGCCCGCGGCCUAUCAGCUUGUUGGUGGGUAAUGGCCUACCAAGGCGUCGACGGGUAGCCGGCCUGAGAGGGUGGACGGCCACAUUGGGACUGAGAUACGGCCCAGACUCCUACGGGAGGCAGCAGUGGGGAAUAUUGCACAAUGGGCGGAAGCCUGAUGCAGCGACGCCGCGUGGGGGAUGACGGCCUUCGGGUUGUAAACCUCUUUCGACAGGGACGAAGUGAAAAUGACGGUACCUGUAUAAGAAGCACCGGCUAACUACGUGCCAGCAGCCGCGGUAAUACGUAGGGUGCGAGCGUUGUCCGGAAUUACUGGGCGUAAAGAGCUCGUAGGUGGUUUGUCACGUCGUCUGUGAAAUUCCGGGGCUUAACCUCGGGCGUGCAGGCGAUACGGGCAAUACUUGAGUGCUGUAGGGAGACUGGAAUUCCUGGUGUAGCGGUGAAAUGCGCAGAUAUCAGGAGGAACACCAAUGGCGAAGGCAGGUCUCUGGGCAGUUACUGACCGCUGAGGAGCGAAAGCAUGGGUAGCGAACAGGAUUAGAUACCCUGGUAGUCCAUGCCGUAAACGGUGGGCGCUAGGUGUAGGGGACUUCCACGUUCUCUGUGCCGUAGCUAACGCAUUAAGCGCCCCGCCUGGGGAGUACGGCCGCGAGGCUAAAACUCAAAGGAAUUGACGGGGGCCCGCACAAGCGGCGGAGCAUGUGGAUUAAUUCGAUGCAACGCGAAGAACCUUACCUGGGCUUGACAUACACCGGACCGGCGUAGAGAUACGUCUUCCCUUGUGGCCGGUGUACAGGUGGUGCAUGGUUGUCGUCAGCUCGUGUCGUGAGAUGUUGGGUUAAGUCCCGCAACGAGCGCAACCCUUGUCUUAUGUUGCCAGCACGUGAUGGUGGGGACUCAUGAGAGACUGCCGGGGUCAACUCGGAGGAAGGUGGGGAUGACGUCAAAUCAUCAUGCCCCUUAUGUCCAGGGCUUCACACAUGCUACAAUGGUCGGUACAGCAGGUCGCGAACUCGUGAGAGUAAGCCAAUCCUUCAAAGCCGGCCUCAGUUCGGAUUGGGGUCCGCAACUCGACCCCAUGAAGUCGGAGUCGCUAGUAAUCGCAGAUCAGCAACGCUGCGGAGAAUACGUUCGCCGGGCCUGUACACACCGCCCGUCA